rnacentral:rRNA from 1 species
GCAGUCGACGCUUUGUGGUUCAACUGAUUUGAAGAGCUUGCUCAGAUAUGACGAUGGACAUUGCAAAGAGUGGCGAACGGGUGAGUAACACGUGGGAAACCUACCUCUUAGCAGGGGAUAACAUUUGGAAACAGAUGCUAAUACCGUAUAACAAUAGCAACCGCAUGGUUGCUACUUAAAAGAUGGUUCUGCUAUCACUAAGAGAUGGUCCCGCGGUGCAUUAGUUAGUUGGUGAGGUAAUGGCUCACCAAGACGAUGAUGCAUAGCCGAGUUGAGAGACUGAUCGGCCACAAUGGGACUGAGACACGGCCCAUACUCCUACGGGAGGCAGCAGUAGGGAAUCUUCCACAAUGGGCGAAAGCCUGAUGGAGCAACGCCGCGUGUGUGAUGAAGGGUUUCGGCUCGUAAAACACUGUUGUAAGAGAAGAAUGACAUUGAGAGUAACUGUUCAAUGUGUGACGGUAUCUUACCAGAAAGGAACGGCUAAAUACGUGCCAG